GCCUAUCAGCUUGUUGGUGAGGUAAUGGCUCACCAAGGCGUCGACGGGUAGCCGGCCUGAGAGGGUGACCGGCCACACUGGGACUGAGACACGGCCCAGACUCCUACGGGAGGCAGCAGUGGGGAAUAUUGCACAAUGGGCGGAAGCCUGAUGCAGCAACGCCGCGUGAGGGAUGACGGCCUUCGGGUUGUAAACCUCUUUUAGCAGGGAAGAAGCGAGAGUGACGGUACCUGCAGAAAAAGCACCGGCUAACUACGAGCAAGCAGCCGCGGUAAUACGUAGGGUGCAAGCGUUAUCCGGAAUUAUUGGGCGUAAAGAGCUCGUAGGCGGUUUGUCGCGUCUGCUGUGAAAUCCCGAGGCUCAACCUCGGGCCUGCAGUGGGUACGGGCAGACUAGAGUGCGGUAGGGGAGAUUGGAAUUCCUGGUGUAGCGGUGGAAUGCGCAGAUAUCAGGAGGAACACCGAUGGCGAAGGCAGAUCUCUGGGCCGUAACUGACGCUGAGGAGCGAAAGGGUGGGGAGCAAACAGGCUUAGAUACCCUGGUAGUCCACCCCGUAAACGUUGGGAACUAGUUGUGGGGUCCUUUCACGGGAA
rnacentral:rRNA from 1 species